rnacentral:rRNA from 1 species
AAUCAACGCUGGCGGCGUGCCUCAGACAUGCAAGUCGAACGAUUAAAGCUCUCUUCGGAGAGUGCAUAGAGUGGCGCACGGGUGAGUAACACGUAAGUAAUCUACCCUCGAGUGGGGAAUAACGUCCGGAAACGGGCGCUAAUACCGCAUAAUGCAGCGGCAUCACAAGAUGACAGUUGUUAAAGAGUUAUCGCUUGAGGAGGAGCUUGCGGCAGAUUAGCUAGUUGGUAAGGUAACGGCUUACCAAGGCUACGAUCUGUAACCGGUCUUAGAGGACGGUCGGUCACACUGACACUGAAUAACGGGUCAGACUCCUACGGGAGGCAGCAGUCGGGAAUUUUGGGCAAUGGGCGAAAGCCUGACCCAGUAACGCCGCGUGAAGGAUGAAGUAUUUCGGUAUGUAAACUUCGAAAGAAUAGGAAGAAUUAAUGACGGUACUAUUUAUAAGGUCCGGCUAACUACGUGCCAGCAGCCGCCGUAA